rnacentral:rRNA from 1 species
UAAGACGAACCGUACAAACGUUAUUCGGAAUCACUGGGCUUAAAGGGUGCGUAGGCGGCGCUGAAAGUUGGGUGUGAAAUCCCUCGGCUCAACCGAGGAACUGCGCCCAAAACUACAGUGCUUGAGGGAGAUAGAGGUGAGCGGAACUUAGGGUGGAGCGGUGAAAUGCGUUGAUAUCCUAAGGAACGCCAGGGGCGAAAGCGGCUCACUGGGUCUCUUCUGACGCUGAGGCACGAAAGCUAGGGUAGCGAACGGG